UACGGAGGAUGCGAGCGUUAUCCGGAUUUAUUGGGUUUAAAGGGUGCGUAGGCGGACGCUUAAGUCAGCGGUAAAAUUGCGGGGCUCAACCUCGUCGAGCCGUUGAAACUGGGUGUCUUGAGUGGGCGAGAAGUACGCGGAAUGCGUGGUGUAGCGGUGAAAUGCAUAGAUAUCGCGCAGAACUCCGAUUGCGAAGGCAGCGUACCGGCGCCCAACUGACGCUGAAGCACGAAGGCGUGGGUAUCGAACAGG
rnacentral:rRNA from 1 species